UGUGCUGGAUCGAAGGGUAUUUUUGCCACUGGAGGAAAGUGGAAGUCGACCUCCUAGUACUCAAGAGACUAGUAGCAGUCUCUUGCCACAGAGCCCAGUCCCAACAGAGCAUAUGAAUGCCAAUGAGAUGCCGGAGGACACCAGCACUCCGGAAGAGAUGCCACCUCCAGAGCCCCCAGAGCCACCACAAGAGGCAGUUGAAGCUGAGAAGUAGCCUAGCUAUGGAAGAGACUUUUGUUUGUGUUUAAUUAGGGCUAUGAGAGAUUUCAGGGGAGAAGAUAAACCUGAGACAGAGAACAAAUAAGCUGUUCCUUUUUCUGUUUUUCUUUGGUCUUGAGUCACCCAAUUGCACACUGGCAUUUUAUUGCUGCAAGCUUUUUUUAAAUUUCUAGACUCAAGGUAGUGGCAGAAGAUGUCAGUCACCUCUGGAAACUAUACAAAUUGGUCUCUUGGGACUUGGCACUGGUUUCCCAUGGCCUCAGCCACAAGGUCUCCUUGGACUCCCCUCUCUUCCCUCCAGAUCUCAGCUCUCCUGUUUGGGGUCAUUGGUCCCAUUCUGGGGCUAAAGAUUCUUGAGACUGCCUCAAGUCCUUUUAAGCUGCUGCAUGUCCUGAGGCAGUCACAGAGACCUCUGGCUAGGGACUGCUAACUGGGUUCUUAGUUCCUUCAGAAUUGAUGAGGUUUAGAGAGUGAGGUUAGAGGAUUCUACUGGCCACAAAGUGCCAGCAUUGCUAGCCAGUCCUUUUAGGAAUAGGGCAGAUACCUUCCACUUGUACUUAUUUGUGUAGCUUCUCUUUUCUCUCCCAUCUACUCUCCAAUAUCCAACUUCCAGUCUUUUCCCACUAGAUAUAUGUAAGUAGUCAUAGUAGAGAUAACAAUUUACAUUUUUUGUAGAUUCUUCAAAAACUUUUCAAUACUUACGCUAUUCUCAGUAAGAACUGAUGAGAUGCCAACAACAUAGCCCCUCACACUCUCUGUCUCAUCUCUCCUCCUUUCUCAUUAGCCCAUUUUACUUUUUGUCUUUUGACUCUUGCUCCAAUUAGGAGCUGGAAUGGCAGUAAUAAAAGUCUGCACUUUGGUGUUCCUUUUCCUCAGAGGAAGCCCAAGUGCUCACUUAAACACUACCCCCUCAGACUCCGUGUGUGAGGCCUGCAGAGGCCCUGAAUGCACAAAUGGGGAAAUCAAGGCACAGAGAGGCUCUCCUCUCCUCUCCUCUCCCUCUAUGUCCCCUCAAAAAAAAAAAAAAAAGAAAAAGCAAAAAAGCUAACCAGUACUUCCAUUAAGCCUCGGCUGAGUGAGGGAAAGCCCAGCACUGCUGCCCUUCCGGGUAACCCACUCUAAGGCCUCAGCCCAACUUGGGCAAUGGUAACCACACCAGGGGCUUCCUCCAAGCCCCACUCUUCCAGCACUUCCACCGGCAGAGUCCCAGAGCCAUUUCACCCUGGGGGUGGGCUGUGGCCCCCAGUCAGCUCUGCUGAGGACCUGCACUAUUUCAGGGAAGAAGAUUUAUGUAUUAUAUGUGGCUAUAUUUCCUAGAGCACCUGUGUUUUUCUCUUUCUAAGCCAGGGUCCUGUCUGGAUGACUUACGGGGACUGGGGUGGGUGGGUGUAAACCAGAACUUUUAAUCUAUUUGAAGGUGAUUAAACUGUGUCUAAUGCAAA